AACGAACGCUGGCGGCAUGCCUAACACAUGCAAGUCGAACGAAGGCUUCGGCCUUAGUGGCGCACGGGUGCGUAACGCGUGGGAAUCUGCCCUCUGGUACGGAAUAACUCAGGGAAACUU
rnacentral:rRNA from 1 species